UUCUUUGGAGAGUUUGAUCCUGGCUCAGGACGAACGCUGGCGGCGUGCCUAAUACAUGCAAGUCGAGCGGACUGGAUUGGAGCUUGCUCUGAUUCGGUCAGCGGCGGACGGGUGAGUAACACGUGGGCAACCUGCCCGCAAGACCGGGAUAACUCCGGGAAACCGGAGCUAAUACCGGAUAACACCGAAGACCGCAUGGUCUUUGGUUGAAAGGCGGCCUUUGGC
rnacentral:rRNA from 1 species